UACAGAGGUCUCAAGCGUUGUUCGGAUUCAUUGGGCGUAAAGGGUGCGUAGGCGGCGCGGUAAGUCGGGUGUGAAAUCUCGGAGCUUAACUCCGAAACUGCAUUCGAUACUGCCGUGCUUGAGGACUGGAGAGGAGACUGGAAUUUACGGUGUAGCGGUGAAAUGCGUAGAGAUCGGGAGGAACACCGGCGGCGAAGGCGGCUGCCUGGACCAGUCCUGACGCUGAGGCGCGAAAGCUAGGGGAGCAAACAGGG
rnacentral:rRNA from 1 species